CCUACGGGGGGCAGCAGUGGGGAAUAUUGCACAAUGGGGGAAACCCUGAUGCAGCAACGCCGCGUGAGCGAUGAAGGCCUUCGGGUCGUAAAGCUCUGUCCUAAGGGAAGAAUAUUGACGGUACCUUAGGAGGAAGCCCCGGCUAACUACGUGCCAGCAGCCGCGGUAAUACGUAGGGGGCUAGCGUUAUCCGGAAUUACUGGGCGUAAAGGGUGCGUAGGCGGCCCUUCAAGUCAGAGGUGAAAGGCUACGGCUCAACCGUAGUAAGCCUUUGAAACUGUAGGGCUUGAGUGCAGGAGAGGAAAUCGGAAUCCCUAGUGUGGCGGUGAAAUGCUUAGAUAUUAGGGAGAACACCAGUGGGGAGGGGGGCUUUCUGGACUGUAACUGACGUGGAGGAACGAAGGCGGGGGGAGCGAACAGGAUUAGAUCCCUAGUAGUC
rnacentral:rRNA from 1 species